GGGUCAAAAAAAGGACUUUUUGUAAACAAAAUAUCCAACAUUACCUGAAGCCGUAGGUGAACGAACAGAAAUAUCUAGAAAUGUUAUACAGAAGGCAAUAUCCAACGUUGAAAAACAUGAAGAUACAGCGAGAAGCUUGUACCAGUUAGUAUAUUUCGAACACAAUUAAAAAAUUUUUUUUAAACACCAGAAGAAUUGUUCAUCGUCCUAUGCCGUUCCAGAAAAUUUAAAUGGCACAAGAAGACUUUAAUAUUGCGGCUUCCCUUCCAUCAAAAUAAAGGACUUAUUUUGGUGUGUCCACUUCUCAUCCUUCGACGUAACGAGCUGAUGAGUCAUUUAUGUCCUCUGCCUAAUCUCAGCUUAUCUUUGGACUCGAGGAUUUUCCGUAACCUGAGCCAGAAGGUAGACAAUGUGAAGAAGGAAGAAUAUGAACGAAUUUUCAUUGUAAGGUAUAUGUACUUAAACUGGGCAGGAUUCAUGAUGUCAGUAUAACGAGAUCAUUAAAAUGAAGGAUACGAAAAUUGGGAAUUUAUAAGGAGUGAUUUAAUAUUAUCACAUUCUUUGUCU